GGACAUUGGGGAAGGUCCCUCCAGGUGCUUGCGCCGGGGUCUUUCUCAGCCCCGCUGCAGGGACACUGUGGGGCGGGCUUCCUCCAGCGAGACACCUUCCCCUCGGGUCUCAGCUGAGUGACGCUCCGGGGUAACUGGACGCACUCCUGCUCGUUUAGAGGCGAGGCAGUAAAUCAACCGGGGCGCGUAACCCGAGGGCUCAAAUCCUAGGGGCGACAGAGCCGGCGAGCCCCAGAAAGAGGAAUUGCUUGAAAGCAUCACGUAAAACACCCAGCUGUUUAAAAAGGCAACAUGCAAACUGUCUGCAAUGAAAAUAUGGUAUAACAGAGAGCUGGAGAGGCAGAGAGGCGCUCGCUCGGCGGCGGGAUGGCUCUCAGAGCGCCGUGCGGCGCGGGCUGCCAGCUGCAGGCGGAGGAGUGCGGCGCUCCUGCCAGACGCAGAGGAGGAGCGGGGAGACGCAGAGGAGACGGCAGGAGGAGCGGGGAGACGCAGACACGCGCUCUCUCUCUGCCAGCGGACCCCCGUCGCCACGGACUCCAGUAAUUGCAGUGGUUUACAGUAAGGGCCCUAUCGCAGACCGGCAGGAAAGCCAGCCUGCUAACCGCUCAGAACAGGCAAGAGAUGGAACGCGGUUAGGAUGAGCAGCCCAUCCCCCUCAUCGCUUCGAUGGCAGAGAUGAGGGACUGACUACCUGCCAAACCCCCUCCCACCUAGCCCUUGCUGAACACAAAGGGAGAGAGCAGUGCUGGGCAGGGUUAGGCUGCUCUGUGUUACACUGGGCUGUACUGUGCUGUUUGGACUAUGCUGUGCUUGGCUGGGUUGUGUUGUGGUGUGCUUGGCUGGAUUGUGUUGUGGUGUGCUUGGCUGGAUUGUGUUGUGGUGUGCUUGGCUGGAUUGUGUUGUGGUGUGCUUGGCUGGGUUGUGUUGUGGAGUGCUUGGCUGGGUUGUGUUGUGGUGUGCUUGGCUGGGUUGUGUUGUGGUGUACUGGGCUAGGUUGGGUUGUGGUGUACUGGGCUGGGUUGUGUUGUGUUGUACUGGGCUGGGUUGUGGUGUACUGGGCUGGGUUAGGCUGCUCUUACACUGGGCUGUGCUGCACUCUUUGGGCUAUGCAGUGCUAGGCUGGUUUACUGUUCUUAAAUAAAUGUCCCAUUGUCUUUUCA